GGCCGAAUGCCCGAGUGGCCAGGGGCCCGUCUGCAAAACGGGACACGCCGGUUCGAAUCCGGCUUCGGCCUCCA
rnacentral:tRNA from 1 species